rnacentral:rRNA from 1 species
GUGGGGAAUAUUGGACAAUGGGCGAAAGCCUGAUCCAGCCAUGCCGCGUGUGUGAAGAAGGUCUUCGGAUUGUAAAGCACUUUAAGUUGGGAGGAAGGGCAGUAAGUUAAUACCUUGCUGUUUUGACGUUACCGACAGAAAAAGCACCGGCUAACUACGUGCCAGCAGCCGCGGUAAUACGUAGGGUGCAAGCGUUAAUCGGAAUUACUGGGCGUAAAGCGCGCGUAGGUGGUUUUGUAAGUUGGAGGUGAAAUCCCCGGGCUCAACCUGGGAACUGCCUCCAAAACUGCAUGACUAGAGUACGGUAGAGGGUAGUGGAAUUUCCUGUGUAGCGGUGAAAUGCGUAGAUAUAGGAAGGAACACCAGUGGCGAAGGCGACUACCUGGACUGAUACUGACACUGAGGUGCGAAAGCGUGGGGAGCAAACAGGAUUAGAAACCCGUGUAGUCC